rnacentral:rRNA from 1 species
UAGGGAAUAUUGGACAAUGGGCGCAAGCCUGAUCCAGCCAUGCCGCGUGAGUGAAGAAGGCCUUCGGGUUGUAAAGCUCUUUUGUCCGGAAAGAAAAGCCUUGGGUUAAUACCCCGGGGUUCUGACGGUACCGGAAGAAUAAGCACCGGCUAACUUCGUGCCAGCAGCCGCGGUAAUACGAAGGGUGCAAGCGUUACUCGGAAUUACUGGGCGUAAAGCGUGCGUAGGUGGUUUGUUAAGUCUGAUGUGAAAGCCCUGGGCUCAACCUGGGAAUGGCAUUGGAUACUGGCAGGCUAGAGUGCGGUAGAGGGUAGUGGAAUUCCCGGUGUAGCAGUGAAAUGCGUAGAGAUCGGGAGGAACAUCCGUGGCGAAGGCGACUACCUGGACCAGCACUGACACUGAGGCACGAAAGCGUGGGGAGCAAACA